rnacentral:lncRNA from 1 species
UGCCGAUUUGUAGCUGAUACGUGUUCAGCUGGAAUCCUAAUUUCUAGAGUAGGAUCACUUGGAGAGCUAUCAGAAGCUCCAUCUGCUUUGGAUGAUUCAUAUUCCUUCCAUAAUUUAAUCAGUUCUGGCAUACACUCACCAACUCUAUAAUUGAUAGCAGAUACAUCAUGCUUAACUGCAAAGACAAGUUCAUAUAUGGUGCAUGAGAACUAAGUAGUUGACAACAAUUUUUGCAUCCCAUCUUAGUCAGUUAAUCUAUGAACAGCCUCUGUUCUGUAGUUGUACCAUAAUUGGCCGGUUUCCAUACAAAAACAGCAGAGCAAGCAUACUGGGAUGAAACAGUUAGAAAAACUUCCUAACCUACUGACGACUAAUAUUUCAAUGGCAGGUGAAAGCAACAAAUAUUUCCUAAAAAAUGUCUGAGAUCAAAGUUAUUAUUACAAGCUACUUCAUAAAGAAAAAAGAAAUUACAGAACUUAUCAUCACAGAACUCAUUAGACGCAUCGACUCUGCAGCAAAGGAGAGGCAAGAAACAGUUCAAUCCACUCGCUCUUUUGAUUCGACUAUUCAAAAGAGGAAUUUCAUAAAUCCCUUCCACUAAAUAAGUAAUAUGAUCUGUAGAUAUGCUGGUCUGAAUUUAAUGGAUCGGAAUCAUUUGCAUAUGUUACAAGUACCAAAUCCGCAACUUCAAGCAUACGAUGUACCGUGAUGGGUCACAACAAGCAAAUAGCAUACUUUACUAGAAUAAAAGGUUGCAGUCAGUACAUCAAUAGAAUUUACACAGCAAUUUUCCACAAAUGACAGAUUAUAUGUGAAUCUGAGAUAUUAUCUGACAGCUAAUACAAUAUGUGUUACAAGCUCCACAAAUAUCAGAUAACAGCUGUAAGCUAUAAGUCGGGUUUUGCACGAAGUGUAGCUGAUUAUCUGAAUCUUUGAUUUAGUUGAUGCGAAAUGUAACAACUACCACUAUAAUUUUUUGACAACGUAAAAAAUUAAAUCCUGGAAACUACAAAAUAACAUCCCCAGUAAUGUCUGGCUGUUACUUUUCUAAUUCAAAAUAGAAAGCUUUCAUGUUUAAAAUAAGCAGACAUUUUUUGAAAAAAAUUGGACCUUGGGCCUAAUUCAACUCCAAAUGUUAACUCAUGAUAUUAGGACUGUUCAAAACCAUAUGCGGAGACAACAAUCUCUCAGCCACUGUGAGACAUUCUAAUACUUACCCCCCAAGCCUCACAUGGAACACUUGGAGUGUGGAACAAUAGAGAUGGCUCUGGCUAUGCUACCAUGUAAAUAAAAUGAACCUCAAGCCUUACUCAAUCACAAAGGCUAGCUCAUGAGGAAGCCCAAGGACAUGUAAGCACACAACAGUUCAUUCCCUCAACCAAUGUGCAAUAUUAUAACAAAAACAUACAGACGUAGAUUACGGAUUGAGCUUAAGUAACUAUUCUGACCUCUUUUUACUGUGGUUAAGCUAAUAUUUUCAAUUUUAAUUUUUUCCUAAACAGACUUAAGAAUUAGGAGUCACUUUCCCUAAUUCUCCCCAAAGACACAACGGAAGAAAUGGGAACAGAUACAUGCUAAACAGGAUACAAUAGCAUGUUUUCUCUUGAUAAUGACAGACUUAACCUUUUUAAUUUCUUAAUUUUUGUAGACCUUUUUGGAAUUUGGCCAAUGUUCAUUCCUCAAAUUAGAUUUGAUUUGACACGGGAUAGGGAAGAAUUUGUAAAUUUGUAAUGAAAUAUUAAUGCAUCAGAAUCAUCAGAAGGACUCUGUAAUUUUGGCAGACUAGAAAGGAGAUCAAUGCAACUCACAGUUUUAUUAAAAAGGCAAAAAUACAAGGAAAAGUCAUAUUCUCAAGAAACAGAUAAUCAUACCAUGACUUAGAUAUCUCGCCUGAUCACCUCACCUAAUCUCCGUUCUGGUGUACUUUUUUCUGGUUAAUUUUCGGGUAUGAUUUCAUGUAAAAUGAUGUUUUAGUUCCUAACUUAAUCGUAGCUUGCACAUAUAGACUAUUUUUGACAAGCUUAGUAUGCUACGAAGUACUGCUCAAUCUGAUGAACAAAGAAAGGUGUACAGAGAUUAUUUUUUUUUAGUAUCUAAAGAAAGAAAGAGCACAAGCUUGACGAUGUUGAUUGGCUUUAUACAAUCCAGCAAAUGGUCCCUUGAUUCAGAGCACACGAGUCAAACGACCUUUGAGAUGAUUGUAAAAAGUGAACUUAAUAUGUAACAUGUAGCCAGAAAGUGUUUGUACAAGAAGACUCCAAUGCAAAAAGAUAAAUGCAUUGUCAUCUAAUAUGACUUGAAGCAUUUCAAGCAAGACAGUCUUCUAAUUCUGGUGGGAACAGCUUUCAACUAUGCAUCAUGCUAAUUUGGUCACAAACUACUGAUUGUUUUGGCCACUUAACAUAGAAAUUGGUCGCUGCAUCACUAUCUUAAUGCACAACAAAACUUUAUAACUGUGGAGGCAGUUACAAUGGUUAUACAAAUUCAAACAAAUGGCACAAAAUUUGCAGUUCAUGGUCCAAAAUAAUACAAAAUUUAGGAUAGCUAAGACUAUAGAGUAUCCGGAUAUACCGUGCAAACAAGUUCCAGCAAUCAAUGGAGUAAAUCCAGAAAGAAAAAAACUACAUGCCCACAUGAGAUGCAGAAAAUGAAUCAGGACAUCUACAGAGUUCCUUUCUCAUCAUGCUGGAAAAGUAAUGACCAACGAGACAUUCAAAACAGUUCAAGUAUAACACUUCUAUAGAAGGAGAUUCAUGAAACUCUAAACAGAAACAGAAAGCACUUAUGAUGAAAAGUGGAACAAAAAGCAGGAACAUGUGAGCCUAUGAUUUUGCAUAUAGGCAUAUCUGACAACCUAAGGCAGAAACAGCUGGCAAAAAGAACAUCAAUUCCUAACAUGGAAACUAUCUCAACCAAUAAAAGAUGGGAUCAAUGUUGUCUAAUUAGUUAAAUUAGCAAUUUUUCAGAAUCAAACAAAUCUGCAAGCAUGAAUGCCAAGGACAACUCCCUCCUGGAUGAUACCAAUUUGAGACAACUCCAAGAUAAGUACUUUAACAGCUUACCUUGAGAUCUGCACAGAAAGACAGAAGAAGAGUUACACUACAUAACAAUCAAAGAAACAUCUAUGUCCAGAUAUCAUCUAAGUGGUAAAAAAAACCAUCAAAUUUCCAGGCUAAAUAACUUAUAGGAAGUUUUUUCAACACACAUUAAUGAUUUGUAGUUGCAAGACAAGAUAAUGAGUAAUUUGUAGUUGCUAGACGAGAAAAUGAACUUAACACAUCCCAUAUAUUACACUUUGACAAAUAAGUCUAUGAUAACCUAGUUGAAUUGCUUGACAGGAGGAAUUUUCAGGACAGGGAAAUGGAAGAAUUCCAAAAUAUAAUUGGAUUCAGAAACAGAGAAAAAAUAACUUCUUUUAUUUUAUUUUUAUAACCGAUAAAUCUAUUGUUUAGGCUUCAAAAGUUGGUGGAAAAUAGGUCACCCCCUAUUCUUCUCCAUUUAAACACAACACCUAGUUCCCCAAUAGGAUUUGAAGUUGUGGCGUGCACCUACCACACACCCCACGUUGUACUACCUUUGCCGUUGAACCAAAGACCUGGGACCAGAAAAUAAUCUAUUCUCAAUAAUCGAAUAGAAUGGUGUCGCAGAUCUCCGAGACAUCAUUGGAAACUUGAAUUGACAGAAGAAUGACCAAAAUUCAAGGUCUAGAGGAGGAGGUCGUCCGCUGUAGAGAAGAGCAACACCGGUGGUAUUGGUAGUUGAAGAGAGGAGCAUCCAGAAUAAUCACCAGAGAAAUGAGUAGUGGCAGUUGCCUCAGGAAGAUAGGAGUGACAUUGGUCACAGGAAAAAGAGGACCGGCAUGCUAGAAAAAGAGAGGAGCAGCGCCAAUAGCCAAAAAAAGAGGUCAGAGCAGUCGACACCACUCGUGGAUGAGAGUGUUGAUCGCUAGGAAACAAAAAGGAAAGAAGAAAAACAAUGACCUGCAGGCGGCAUAAGGUCGGCUCUUAUAGGUGGAAGCUGUAUGAAUGUCUACCAAGAUCGAAAAGGCUCAACUACCUUGUGAAAAUUAAAUUUAACAUUUUAUUGAUUUAGUUGAUUAACAAUGUACAAGAGGAACUCAUAUAUAAGAGUCUAUGCACAAUAUGACAGGUAAGCAUUCUCUAUGCAUAUAAGGUAAGAAAAUAUUCUAUAAUUGAAUACAGGAUCUCAUAAGGUAUCCUAUGGAAAGUUCUAUUAUUUUUCCUUAUUCUUUUUUAUUAGUUCUAUAAUAUUUUCCUUCAACAAAUUCAUUGAAUUAAGACGUGUAUGAAUGUAGACACGUAUUUCUCUAACAUACAAUAGUUCUCACAGCAUCAAACUCUAGGAUUGUAGCAGAUAGAGUCUAUGAUGUCUAUCUAGAGUUUUAAUGGACCAUUAUGUCUGCUGGUUGUAGGCUAGGGAUUGUCUAUGGCUCAUUAUUAAUGAGUAAAGCAUCAAAUAGUGUCAGUCAAUCAUCAAAAAGGCAUACCCUUCAUUUUCAUGAGUGUGUGACCUAAAACGAGGAUCGCGAUUGGCCAUGGGGCUCCCUCUUGGCCGCGACAUUCUCUUGCGCUGCUGAACUCCAUAAUUAAAAGCUUCUCUUUCCCUUUCU